CGACAAAGGAUUGGGCAUAUUUGAAGAAGAGGAAGAAGAGAGAGACAGAGAGCGGUUCGAGAUCUGAUCUAAUCGGAGACCUUCUUCAUCUUCACCGUUGAACCCAGAAAAGAUGUCGUCAACUUUCAGCGGCGAUGAAACGGCACCCUUCUUCGGCUUCCUCGGCGCCGCUGCAGCCCUCGUCUUCUCCUGUAUGGGAGCUGCUUAUGGGACGGCGAAGAGCGGGGUGGGAGUUGCGUCUAUGGGAGUAAUGAGGCCUGAACUGGUGAUGAAGUCAAUUGUUCCGGUGGUUAUGGCUGGAGUUUUGGG
rnacentral:misc_RNA from 1 species